rnacentral:rRNA from 1 species
AUUGAACGCUGGCGGCAUGCCUUACACAUGCAAGUCGAACGGUAACAGGUCUUCGGAUGCUGACGAGUGGCGAACGGGUGAGUAAUACAUCGGAACGUGCCCAGACGUGGGGGAUAACGAGGCGAAAGCUUUGCUAAUACCGCAUACGAUCUAAGGAUGAAAGCAGGGGACCGCAAGGCCUUGCGCGUUUGGAGCGGCCGAUGGCAGAUUAGGUAGUUGGCGGGAUAAAAGCUUACCAAGCCGACGAUCUGUAGCUGGUCUGAGAGGACGACCAGCCACACUGGGACUGAGACACGGCCCAGACUCCUACGGGAGGCAGCAGUGGGGAAUUUUGGACAAUGGGCGAAAGCCUGAUCCAGCAAUGCCGCGUGCAGGAUGAAGGCCUUCGGGUUGUAAACUGCUUUUGUACGGAACGAAAAGGCUCUGGCUAAUACCUGGGGCACAUGACGGUACCGUAAGAAUAAGCACCGGCUAACUACGUG